GAUGAACGCUAGCGGCGUGCCUAAUACAUGCAAGUCGAGCGAGACUCUUCGGAGUCUAGCGGCGGACGGGUGAGUAACACGUGGGCAACCUGCCUGUAAGACUGGGAUAACACCGGGAAACCGGUGCUAAUACCGGAUAAUCCUUUUUCUCUCAUGAGGGAAAGCUGAAAGUCGGUUUCGGCUGACACUUACAGAUGGGCCCGCGGCGCAUUAGCUAGUUGGUGAGGUAACGGCUCACCAAGGCAACGAUGCGUAGCCGACCUGAGAGGGUGAUCGGCCACACUGGGACUGAGACACGGCCCAGACUCCUACGGGAGGCAGCAGUAGGGAAUCUUCCACAAUGGACGAAAGUCUGAUGGAGCAACGCCGCGUGAGCGAUGAAGGCCUUCGGGUCGUAAAGCUCUGUUGUUAGGGAAGAACAAGUACCGGAGUAACUGCCGGUACCUUGACGGUACCUAACCAGAAAGCCACGGCUAACUACGUGCCAGCAGCCGCGGUAACAC
rnacentral:rRNA from 1 species